rnacentral:rRNA from 1 species
UAUNGCACAAUGUGGGAAACCCUGAUGCAGCNACGCCGCGUGAAGGAAGAAGUAUUUCGGUAUGUAAACUUCUAUCAGCAGGGAAGAAAAUGACUGUACCUGACUAAGAAGCCCCGGCUAACUACGUGCCAGCAGCCGCGGUAAUACGUAGGGGGCAAGCGUUAUCCGGAUUUACUGGGUGUAAAGGGCGCGUAGGCGGUGCAGCAAGUCAGAAGUGAAAGCCCGGGGCGCAACUCCGGGACUGCGUUUGAAACUGUUGAACUAGAUUGCAGGAGAGGUAAGUGGAAUUCCUAGUGUAGCGGUGAAAUGCGUAGAUAUUAGGAGGAACACCAGUGGCGAAGGCGGCUUACUGGACUGUAAAUGACGCUGAGGCUCGAAAGCGUGGGGAGCA